AAACAUGCAGUCGAGCGAAUGCGACUACUACCUUGGUCUUCUUGAGUUAGAGGGGGACGUGUGAGUAACACAUGCCGAACCUGCCCCUAAAACUGGGAUAACUCCGGCAAACCAGGGCUAAUACCGGAUAACAUUUUGAACCGCAUGGGUCGAAAUUGAAAGGCCUCUUCGGCUGUCACUUAUGGAUGGACCCGCGUCCCAUUAGCUAGUUGGUCAGGUAAGGGCUCACGCUCCGCCGAUGCGUUGAGAACCUGACAGCCUGAUCGGUCAUCUGGGACUGAAACCCUCCCCAGACUCCUACGGGAGGCUAUUUUUGGGAGUCUUCCGCCCCGCUGCAAAGUCUGACCGACGUGGCCGCGUGAGUGAUGAAGGCUUUCUGUUCCUUAGGCUCUGAUGUUAAGGAAUACCCAGUGCUAGUUGACUGCUCUGGGGGGUGUGGCGAUACCUAACCUGAAAGCCACGGCUAACUACCUGCCAGCACCGCGGUAAUAA
rnacentral:rRNA from 1 species